GUGCCAGCCGCCGCGGUAACACGUAGGGGGCAAGCGUUGUUCGGAAUUACUGGGCGUAAAGGGCAUGUAGGCGGCUCUGUAAGUCCGGCGUGGAAGCCCAUGGCUCAACCAUGGGAUUGCGCUGGAAACUGCGGGGCUUGAAUCAUGGAGAGGGAGCUAGAAUUCCUGGUGUAGGGGUGAAAUCUGUAGAGAUCAGGAAGAAUACCAGUGGCGAAGGCGAGCUCCUGGCCAAUGAUUGACGCUGAGGUGCGAAAGUGUGGGGAUCAAACAGGAUUAGAAACCCCGGUAGUCC
rnacentral:rRNA from 1 species